rnacentral:misc_RNA from 1 species
AAGUCGUAACAAGGUUUCCGUAGGUGAACCUGCGGAAGGAUCAUUACCGAAGUACAGGCCCUCUCGAGGGCUAAACUUCCACCCUUUGUUUAUUAUACUAUGUUGCUUUGGCGGAUCGCCCUUGGGCCACCGGCUUCGGCUGGUGCGUGUCCGCCAGAGACCUCAAACCCAAACCAUUAUACGUAAUUGUCUGAAAACAAGUUUAAAUUAUUAAAACUUUCAACAACGGAUCUCUUGGCUCUG